rnacentral:rRNA from 1 species
GGCGUCCUACGGGGCGCAGCAGUGAGGAAUAUUGGUCAAUGGGCGAGAGCCUGAACCAGCCAAGUCGCGUGAAGGAUGACGGCCCUACGGGUUGUAAACUUCUUUUGUCAGGGAGCAAUUGAGUCCACGUGUGGUCUUAGCGAGAGUACCUGAAGAAAAAGCAUCGGCUAACUCCGUGCCAGCAGCCGCGGUAAUACGGAGGAUGCGAGCGUUAUCCGGAUUUAUUGGGUUUAAAGGGUGCGUAGGCGGAAUAUCGAGUCAGCGGUAAAAAUUCGGGGCUCAACCCCGUCGUGCCGUUGAAACUG